CCCUGCCUGCCCGCCUUCACGCCCCUGCCCCUGCCCCUGCCUGCCCGCCUUCACGCCGCUGCCCCUGCCCCUGCCUGCCCUCCUUCAUGCCGCUGCUCCUGCCCCUGCCCCUGCCCUCCUUCAUGCCGCUGCUCCUGCCUCCUGCCCCUGCCCGGGUGGGCAAACCUCCCCCCCCACCUUCUCCCGCCUUCUCUUUGGGCCUCAGGGGUGCUUCUUGCCCGUCCUCCUCUCCCCCUCCUCUCCAGACACAGUUGCCCCUCCCUCAGGAAGCCCCUCACCUCCUCUCGGUUCCUGUGUCCCAGCCAAUUCUUCGGCAGGACAGGGGUGACGAGGCCUGCGGAAGGUGUGCCCUGAAGGCUCGUGCUUAGAGAACUGGAAGACGUGUGUGGGCAGGACCACGGCAGCCGUGUGGGAGGGCCCAGAGGAAGCCAGCAGGUGGCGCCUCGAGCUCCUCUCUCCAUACGGCCCAGCUGUGUGCUGUCGCCCGUUCAUGCUUUUAUUCAGGACGGUCUCUGGGCGUGUCCAGUGGUCCAGGGCUCUCCAGGCCGGCAAAUCCACAGGUAGCGGGUUAGCAGGCCGGGCCCCCCAGGCCUGCAGGUCCACAGGUAGCGGGUUAGCAGGCCGGGCCCUUCCUCUGGAUGAGCAGGUGUCAGUCUCCAAGGCAGCAGGCGUGUUUCCAGCUGGGGAGGGCACAGCGGCAGGGGAGAGCGACACGGUGUGGGGUCUGGAAGGCUCCCUGAGGGGCCAGGAUGUGGGGCGAGAAUCAGAAGUGAGCUGUGGCAAGUCCAGCUUCCUGCAGGAAGCACAGCUGGGCUGACCUUGGCCUGAAGCAGAAGGAAAGAGCAAGUGCCACACCCUUGUCAGAGGGUUCUUUCUUUUUCUUUUUUUUAAAGAUUUUAUUUAUUUAUUUGAAAGAGUUACAGAGAGAGCCAGAGGCAGAGAGAGAGGUCUUCCAUCCCCUGGUUCACUCUGCAAAUGGCCACAAUAGCCGGAGCUGAGCUGAUCUGAAGCCAGGAGCUUUGGGUUUCCAAUGAAGGUGCAGGGGCCCACACACUUGGGCCACUUUCUGCUGCUUUCCCGGGUCAUUAGCAGAGAGCUGGAUGGGAAGUGGAGCAGCCAGGACUAGAACUGGUGCCCACGUGGGAUGCCAGCACUGCAGGGGGCGGCUUUCGCUGCUGUGCAAUAGCGCCGGCCCCUAGAGGGUUGUGUGUGAACCAGGGAUGGAUGUUGGCAUCCACGUGGCUCCUGUUACUCCUGCAGGGACUGGCUGUGUGGUGGCCACAACCGGGCUUGGUGAUGGAUUGGCUGGUUGGUGUGGGGUCAAGAACCCCCCGCCUGUCUAGGCCCCUCAGCCAGGGGAGGAGAGAUCAGAGCGCAGGUGAGCCCCUGGCAGGGGUGGAGAGAUCAGAGCGCAGGUGAGCCCCUGGCAGGGGUGGCAGGAGAGAUCAGAGCGCAGGUGAGCCCCUGGCAGGGGAGGAGAGAUCAGAGCGCAGAUGAGCCCCUGGCAGGGGAGGAGAGAUCAGAGCGCAGGGGAGGAGAGAUCAGAGCGCAGGGGAGCCCCUCGCAGGGGAGGAGAGAUCAGAGCGCAGGUGAGCCCCUGGCAGGGGAGGAGAGACCAGAGCACAGGUGAGCCCCUGGCAGGGGAGGAGAGAUCAGAGCGCAGAUGAGCCCCUGGCAGGGGAGGAGAGAUCAGAGCGCAGGGGAGGAGAGAUCAGAGCGCAGGGGAGCCCCUCGCAGGGGAGGAGAGAUCAGAGCGCAGGUGAGCCCCUGGCAGGGGUGGAGAGAUCAGAGCGCAGGUGAGCCCCUGGCAGGGGAGGAGAGACCAGAGCACAGGUGAGCCCCUGGCAGGGGAGGAGAGAUCAGAGCGCAGGGGAGCCCCUGGCAGGGGAGGAGAGAUCAGAGCACAGGUGAGCCCCUGGCAGGGGAGGAGAGAUCAGAGUGCAGGUGAGCCCCUGGCAGGGGAGGAGAGAUCAGAGCGCAGGGGAGCCCCUGGCAGGGGAGGAGAGAUCAGAGUGCAGGGGAGCCCCUGGCAGGGGUGGCAGGAGAGUUGAGUCAGAAGUGCUGGGAAGUGACAAGCAGGCAGUUCCACACCUGCCAGCACCAUCCCCGGGCCCUCAGACGGGGCGUGGCUGAGAUGAGAGCAACCCAGAGCUGGGUGAUUGGAGGUAGAGAAGCUGUCUGCCAGCGCUGGGGGUCCAGGGAGGCCUGGGGAGAGCGCGAGCACAUGCAGCCGGGGGGGGGGGGGGGCACCAGCCCUUCAGCAGCUGCUGCUGGCCCUGUGUGGUCAGGAACAGAGCCUGUGUCAGCCAGGGGCCCGGUGCCCUGUCCAGUGGCUGUGGGUGCAGGGAGGCCCUGAGUAAGACCAGCAAGGGUCAGAGAGGGAAGUGCAAGGGGCCCGUGGUGGGGGGGUUAGGAGGCCAGAGAGGACAGCUUGGGACACGGUGUUCUUGGCCCUCCCUGGGGGCGUGGGUGAUGCUUACCCGUGGUAAUUGGAAGCCUAAAGAGAAAAGGCACUCCUGGGACGGGGGCCUGGCAGUGGAAAACGGCGCCCUGCCCCGUUAGCACCUCCGUUCCCCAGGAAUAGACCUGCCUCGCUGGGCCUGGAGAGAACGUGGCAGGUGGGAUGGUGCCACACAGGCAGCAGGGCCUGACGCUGCUGCCCCUGUGUACAGGCAGAGGGUGCCCCUUUGCCAUCCUGCCCCAAGCCCUCUGCUCGUUUUACUUUUUUCUUUGAGGGUAGUCAGGAUUUUUAUUGUCAAAACAAGAGAUCUUAACAGAAGAAACAAAUAAAUGAA